rnacentral:lncRNA from 1 species
UGAAUUCAAACGUAGUUGUGAUUUAUAAUAUAGGUAGUGCUAUCAGUUAGAUAUUACGAGUAAUUUUUAGAUAAAUGCAAGUGUAAAUUAAGAUAGCUAUUUGGACUAGUUGUGAAUGUCAUUAUUAUUUGGGAAGAUAUGGAGCUUAUGGCUUGCGUGUAAAAAUAAGGUCUUUAACAAUAAGUACAUGAACUGAAAAGAGUUAGAAGAAUUGGUUCUUGUUAGUGCUUCAGUUUGGGUGGAAGCUUAUAAAGGGGCAAAAGAUUACACCU